CGAGCAGGAAGGCUCCCAUGGAGCCAAAAAAAACCCUAAACUUCAUCAAGUCUUCAAAUUGAAAGACUAAACGAGGCCCAAAUUCACAACCAAACAUAAAUUAACGAUCACCUUCACAAGGGGAUCACAAGGAAUCAUGUCAAGAUGGAUGGGAGCGUUGAAGGCUGACGGGCUACGAAUACUCAAUCAAAUAAGCGAACGCAAAUACGGGCGCGCAAGGCUGUACAGGAUUAUGGAAAUUUCAUCAAGAAGUGUACGCGGUCGAAGAUCGAGUCAAGUCAUGGAUUGUACGUGGGUGUAUAUG